rnacentral:lncRNA from 1 species
UUUGGGAGGCCAAGGUGAGCGGAUCCCUUGAGCCCAGGAAUUGGAGACCAGCCUGGCCGACGUGGCAAAACCCCGUCUCUACUAAAAAUACAAAAAUUAGCUGGGCGUGGUGGCGCAUGCCAGUAGUCCCAGCUGCUCUCGAGGCUGAGGAGGUGGGAGGAUCGCUUGAGCCCAGGAGGUUGAGGCUGCAGUGAGCCAAGAUUGCGCCACUGCACUCCAGCCCGGGCGACAGAGACCCUGUCUCAAAAAAAAAGAAAAAGCAGCGCCUGGCUGUGAGGAUUCCCGAAGGCAGCACCACCCCUGAGCAGACCUGUCUGCCCCUCCGACCGUCGCGCACCAGCCCCUCCCGGUGCCCUGUGUCGUCACGUGACGCUUGUUGAGGAGCCCAGGCGUCCACCCCAACGCCUCCUGGCAUGACGCCGACCUCACUCCUUGGCCCCCGGAAUCCCCACAGGUGGGAGGUGGUCACAGAAGCUUUGUCGAUUCCGUUCUCUUUUUGACAAGGACACUUCCAGGUGCCUCUGCACGGGCACUGACCCACAGGUGGGCACGGGGGUACCCUCAGUACCCACAGGGCCAUGCUCCCAGCCUGGGCCUGAUGGGCCGGGAUGCGACCACCGCCGGCGUCUGCCAUGCUGUGAGUGGGCGGCGGUGACGCACCCACCUGGGAAUGGCAGCGAGUGGUCGGAGUGCCGGAUUCCCCCCGAGCUUUCACGUCUACGGAUUGUCAGUACAGAAAAGCUCGCAGCUGUUGUUGGGUCUGACCCCACCUCUCCUGCUGUUUCCUGCCAGGACAGAUGAGGAGUUAGCUCUCCACUCCCCACCAUGCCUGCCCC